rnacentral:ncRNA from 1 species
GAACGCCGUGUGCGGUGAAAGUCGCACGCACGGUGUGGAGCGGGGGAAAGAGAGCAGCGUGUAAAGCGUGAAAGGGUUGAACCCCAGAGACCAAUGCCUCGCAAGGUAAUAUCUCUCUUUACCUAUCGCUAU